rnacentral:lncRNA from 1 species
UAAAGCAAUCUAUGGUGGCGUGAUAUGCCGCUAGCCAAUCCAUUCCUAAGAUUACAUCAAAAUCUCCCGUGUCUAACCCUAUCAGGUCUACCCUCAAUUUUCUAUUUGCUAUCUUCAUGGCACAAGCCCUAUAAAUAGCUUCCCCUAGUAGUGUUUCACCCCCGGCAGUAGACACAAACAACAAUGAUUCAAUUUUAUCAGGUGAUACAUUAAUCUUGGAAGCAAAAGCAUGUGAAACAAAAGAGUGCGAUGCACUAGUGUCAAAUAAAACAUGAGCAAUAUAGUCACAGAUAG